rnacentral:rRNA from 1 species
UACGAAGGGUGCAAGCGUUACUCGGAAUUACUGGGCGUAAAGCGUGCGUAGGUGGUUUGUUAAGUCUGAUGUGAAAGCCCUGGGCUCAACCUGGGAAUUGCAUUGGAUACUGGCAGGCUAGAGUGCGGUAGAGGAUGGCGGAAUUCCCGGUGUAGCAGUGAAAUGCGUAGAGAUCGGGAGGAACUUCUGUGGCGAAGGCGGCCAUCUGGACCAGCACUGACACUGAGGCACGAAAGCGUGGGGAGCAAACAGG